UCGGAUAUGGUGUAACGGUUUAACAUUGCCGCCUCUCAUCGAGGAUUAGAACCUGGAUAAAUGGUGCGCGGCAGCUCGGGGUUCGAUUCCCCGUAUCCGAA